rnacentral:tRNA from 1 species
GGGUCCGUAGCUCAGUUGGUUAGAGUACUACCUUGACAUGGUAGGGGGGGUCGGCGAUUCGAGUUCGCCCGGACCCA